rnacentral:rRNA from 1 species
GACGAACGCUGGCGGCGUGCUUAACACAUGCAAGUCGAACGGAAAGGCCCCUUUGGGGGUGCUCGAGUGGCGAACGGGUGGGUAACACGUGAGUAACCUGCCCUUGACUUCGGGAUAACUUCAGGAAACUGGGGCUAAUACCUGCUAGGAAUCCUUGCUGCAUGCUGGGGGGUGGAAAGCUUGUGGGGGUUUGGAUGGACUCGCGGCUUAUCUGUUUGCUGGUGGGGUAGGGGGUUACCAAGGCUUUGACGGGUAGCCGGCCUGAGAGGGCGACCGGCCAAAUUGGGACUGAGAUACGGCCCAGAAUCCUACGGGAGGCAGGAGUGGGGAAUAUUGCACAAUGGGCGGAAGCCUGAUGCAGCAACGCCGCGUGCGGGAAGACGGCCUUCGGGUUGUAAACCGCUUUCAGCAGGGGCGAAGCUUGUGGUGACGGUACCUGCAGAAGAAGCACCGGCUAACUACGUG